rnacentral:rRNA from 1 species
AACGCGAAGAACCUUACCAGGUCUUGACAUCGAGUGAAGAGUUAAGAGAUUAAUUCGUCUUCGGACACAAAGACAGGUGGUGCAUGGUUGUCGUCAGCUCGUGUCGUGAGAUGUUGGGUUAAGUCCCGCAACAAGCGCAACCCUUACCAUUAGUUGCUACGCAAGAGCACUCUAAUGGGACUGCCGUUGACAAAACGGAGGAAGGUGGGGAUGACGUCAAAUCAUCAUGCCCCUUAUGACCUGGGCUACACACGUACUACAAUGGCAAUCGAACAGAGGGAAGCAAUACAGCGAUGUAAAGCAAAACCCGAAAAAUUGUCUCAGUUCGGAUUGCAGGCUGCAACCCGCCUGCAUGAAGUCGGAAUUGCUAGUAAUCGCAGAUCAGCAUGCUGCGGUGAAUACGUUCCCGGGGUCUUGUACACACCG